UGCGUGCCUGCGUCACGCGGUGAUCCCGCGCGUCCGCCUGCCAGAUGGUUUCUGCUACAGGGAUUGACGGCACGCACGUCGGGGAUUGACGGGCGCUGGUCGGCGGCCAUGCGAUCUCUGCUGCGGCGCUCGCUGGUCCGUGGUUAUAGGUUUAGCCCGACGGUUUCGCGGAAACAUUCACGUCCUCAAGGAGGCAGACGGCGACUCCCUGCACGGGGGGAGGCGGCCGGCGUGGGCGGCGGCGAGGGAGCUGCGGCGGAGGGAGGCGGCGGCGGACGCGCAGCUGGUGGAGCUGGAGCGGGCAUGGGCACGGGCACGCGCACGCGCCGAGCGGCCCUAUGGCAAGCGGCGACGGGUCGUCGAGGGGGCGCGUGGCCGGAUCCACGAGGGUGGGUAGCAGCAGCCGCCGGCCCCGCCGCCGCCCCACGCAGAACCCGAGCCCGAGCCCGAUCGCUCCACCGCCACUUCCUCCUCGUCUUCUUAGGGCAAAGUGCCGCCAAUGAUGCCUAUCGCUGCUGCUUUUCAUUUCCAGGAAAGGAUGUACAACACCGCACAAAACAGGGACGGGUGACUAGGCACGAGGAGAUGCAUGUGCCACACGUAUGUUACUUCAGUAGCAAAUCUUAUGAACUCUUUGAGGUAAUUUUGGUGAUUUUAUUUGUAAAGAAGUUCUUUCGGUUAUGUUUUUCAGGUUAUAUAUAGAACUGUGCUUUUUACAAAAUUCGUACUUGACAGAAAUAAUUUGGAUUUUUCCUUCAUUUUAUAUUAAAUCAAGCUGACGGUAGUCAAGGGAACACUCUGAGAUCAAGAGCAAAUUCCAUAUAAAUGUUCUUCACCAUAUGUGUACAACUCAAUUUAGGAUUAUCAUAGAAUCGCGGCCAGCGAUUAAUGUAGUACUCCCUCCUUUUGUAACAACUAGAGCCCUCAAGGUUGGACAAGAGCACGUUAUUUGCAAAAAUGAUCUAUAUCGUAACAAGCAUACCUCUGCAGCAGCGCAGGGAGCUGCAGUGGCUGCUCCUGCUAUUCGCCCUGCUUUGAAUGUCCAUGUUCAUCGGCGACAGCUUUCUCACCCCCUGCUGUUUCUGUGCUCUCGUUGGUUCCAGGGCUCAAGCUGUCAAAUGGUUGAUGAACAACACCAAUGUAGGUCGGUUUGUUGAUCAAAUUUAUUGAGAUGCAUCUGUGAUUUUAAUCUGAGUUGCAGUCCUCUUGUUUUAAUAAGAGUAGUCUCAAAGGUUUUUAUUGAGAUGCAUCUGUGAUUUUGGAGAUAAAUAAAUCUCAUGGACAUACAUAAAAAAAUUCCAACGAAAUGUAUGGCAUUUAUUUUGCAUAUUGGAGGUGGUACCUAAUUGCUUAAGGCUAAUAUUGUUGGUCAGUUGUCUUGCUCAACUGAUGUUUUAACAAUAAAUGCACGCUUGGCUAGGCUCAUUCUUGUGAUAAUCAAUAUUGCUUGUUAGGUUACGAAAUAUUUGCUUCAAUUUUUCUUCAGCUCAUGAUAUUUCAUGAGUGGCAGUGAGAAACCAACCGUGGUUAUAUGCUGACUAAAGAUUGAUGGAUUACUGGCUAGGUAAGUUUUGAAAGUACUCUUCUUUAAUUUUCUUAUGCAACACAAAUUCUCCAAUAGAUCUGCUGCACAAUAAGUUUUUUUUAUUAUAGGAGGUUUAGCUAAUUAAACUUGCUAGAAAGACAAAAUAGAAUUUGUGUUAUUUAUCAGUGCAAGAACACCACGGAUGCUGUCACUUCCGUAUUGCAUCUCCAUGCCUUUUGCUUGGUUCUGCUGAUUGGUUGCAGUGUGAAGGCUACAAUUGAGAGGUACAAGCUAAGAAGGCACAUGCUGUUGCAUCAUCGUUUGAGGCCCCACUCUUAGAGCUCAACGCCCAGUCAAUGCAACCACAUGUAUCUCUUCUCCUUCAAACAUUCCAAAUAACCUGGACUAUAUGGCAGAGCCUUCCUACAAAUUGCCGGGACCUAUAGGCAAUGAGUUCCUGCUCACCACGAUCUUGAAGCUGCUGGUCAAGAAAAAAGGCCGCGGAAAGGUGCACGAAUAGGAUGGUGCUUACCUGGUGAUGGCGUACAACUCAUCUUUGAGCUCUGACAAAUGUUUUCUAUACCCCAGUUCCAACAGGUGAAGUUGAGAAGGAUUAUUGGAGCACAAUUCGUGGCACUCAAGAUAAAUACAAGGACAAUAGAAGCAAUUUGGAGCUCCACUGGAAGCUUUUCAACUCAAUCAAGAAAAGCUUGUCCGGAUGCUUGGCAACAUUCAGACCAUGGUUCUCGUUGGCUGGCGACUGUGCAAGCUCUAUGAGUCAGGCAAAAUGACAUCAGGCCAUAGUAGUUUAGGCAAGGUUUGUAAGUUGCAAUAUAGCCAGCAAUGGUUGAAUCUAUGUAUGUCAAGUAUUUCUUUGAAUCUAAGAUUAUUGAAUUUUUGUAUAUAUUUGUUAAAGUGUAAAUAAAAAUUGUUCUAUUAUAACAAAA